rnacentral:ncRNA from 2 species
CGCGGGUCGUCAGGAGAGCGCUUCCCCGUGAAGCCGCCGAAGGCGCAGGCGAACAGCCGAACGCUCAGGCACCCAGGACUGAUGGCCGCCC